rnacentral:lncRNA from 1 species
GGAUGGUCUUUUUGGGAGGCAGACAGAAUUCUGCACAUAGAAUCAGCUCAUCCUAAUGUAGAGGAUGCUAAGCUGUUUGGCUCUGAUUAUUCCGAAGAUCCCACCUUUUUUUUUUUUUUUUUUUUAAAUCUGUUAGCGUGACUGCUUGUCACAUUGUAAUAUUAUUGCGUUCUUGCCUUAGGACAG